rnacentral:lncRNA from 10 species
GAAUUAUGAGAUGCCCAGAGGGGACACAUCCAGCCUAAGAGCCCCAGCCGAGGACCUAAGAUGGGUAGAGAAAACACUUUCCCUCCUCUACAGCCCUCAGGUGGCGGGUAGCUCAAGGUAAUGGUGUCAACAGGCACAAGAACAAUGAUGGAAUGGAGUGAGACACCAGCAAUGCCUGCACCAGCCACUCAUGAGCAAUUAUUUACAAAUAUUUAUUGGGUUCCUCCUAUUCUUGCCACCGGGGAUACAGAAGGGAGGAGGGACUUGUCACGCUCCCAGUUUCCUGUUUUGCCCGAGAGGCAGACAAUAAACUGGCAAACAAAA